rnacentral:lncRNA from 1 species
AUAUGUUUAUAUAUUUAUAAGGUUCACUUUUAUAUACAGUCAUAUAUUCAUAAGUUUACAUACAUUCGUUAUACACUUUUUUUUAAUCAUUUUUUUAUUUUUUUUUGAACAUUAUUUUGUUAUCUUUAUGAAAAUUUAUGUUGCUCCAACUACAACCCCAAAAUUUUUUUUUUUUUUUUUUUCCUAUGUCAUCACUAUAUUUAUGUUUUUUUAUUUUAUUUUAUUUUUUUUUUUUUUUUGUUGUCUUACAAUUGACUUACCUUAUUUAUAAACUAUAAACCAUUUAAAUCAAUAAACAAAACGUUUUGUUUAAACUCACAAAUUUUACAUUCGCUAAUUAUUUUAUUUUUUUAAAGAAUUAAUAUGUGAUACUACUGAUGAAACUAUGUAUUACUUAAAAAAAUAUGAGCAUAAAGUUUGGACAGAAACGUUAAGAUUUUUGGGCUUUACAAUUAAAUGGGGAAUUCAUGAAAAUGGGUAUUGGUUAACAAACUUGAACUACUCAUUUGAUUAUAUGUUAUCAAAUCUAAUCAUAAAAUAUUUUAAGGAAAAGAGUAAACUCAAAAAUUGUUCAUAUAUAUAUAUAUAUAUAUGUAUAUGGACGUAUUUUUUAAUGUUUAUUUUUUUUUUUUUUUUGUUUAUAUGACAUUAAGCAACUUAUUAUAUGUUACUGUUUUUGUAUACAUGAAUAUAAGUUUUACAUGUACAUAUAUUUAUAUAUUUUCAUUUUUACAGAAGUAAAAUCAGUUUUAGAUGUUGGGUGCGGGUAUGGUUAUUAUGUAAACGAAUUAAAUUUUCAUAAAAUAAAGUCAUUAGGAAUAGAUGGUAAUUCCAAGCUUGUAAAUUCUUUGAAAAAUGAAAACAUAUAUAGUUUUGAUGCCACUAACGAAUAUUUUAUAUCGAAUAUCCUAAGUAUAAUAAACAAUGAGAACAAAAAGAUCGUUACAAAUAAAACGAAUCACUUAGAAGAUAAUAAAACUCAUAAAAAAAAUACAAAUAUUGCUAAAAACAGCUUAUAUUUUGAUUAUGUGUUAUGUUUGAACGUUGGUGAAUAUAUUCCGAAGAAAAAGGAAGAAAUAUUUCUUAAAAAUUUGGACAGGUUAAAUAACAAAGGAAUAAUAAUUUCAUGGGACGUACCGGACAGUUUUAAUAUAGGAACAAUUAAUGAAAAAAGCAACGAAGAAAUGUUAGACAUUUUUACAAACAAUUAUAAUUAUACUUAUAAUGAAAAACAUAGUAAACUAUUUCGAGAAAGUUGUAGUAACAAUAUUUUUAAGAAUUGCACAUAUAUUUUUGAAAAAAAAAAAUGAUUUAUUUUAUUUUUAUAAUUUGAAUUUUUUUUUUUUUUUUUAUAUAAUAUAUUGUUUUUUAAAUAUAAGUUUUUUUUUCCCAUUAUUAUCAAUACUAGAAUAUUAUUAUUGCUACUUUUACAACAUCCAGCUUUAUUAUUAUGUCUAAUGUUUAUGGUAUUUUUUUUUUUUUUUUGCUAUUAUCAAAUUUAUUAUAACUUUUAUUAUUACCGAUUUUACAACAUUUUCUUUUUUUUUAUUUUUGAAAAUUUACUUAGCUAGCUAGUUAUAAACCGUUUUAUUAACAUAAGCAAGACAUAGCUCUUAUUGUAAAUAGGGCUAAGUUAGCAACUGACUUGCUAAAAUGGCUAAAACACUCAAAUCAAGUUGGAAAAAAAAAAAAAAAAAAAAAAAAAAAAAAAAAAAAAAAAAAAAAAAAGCAAAAGUAUUAUAAAUGGCAUAAUGAAUAUUUAAAAAAAAAAAAAAAAAAAAUAUUACCUUUUUUAUGUAAAAAAAAAAAAAAAAAAAAAUGUAUAUAUUAUAUAUAUAUAUACAUAUAUUAACAGUACUGAAAAUUUUGUUUUGCCUUUCUUAGAGAUUUAAAAACGUUUGUUACAAUUACUAAUGUUUACAAUUAUAUAAAAAUAUAUAUAGAUACGUUUGUGCGACACUAGUACAUUUAUAAAUCAGUGCAAAUAAAUAAACAUAACUCGAGCA